rnacentral:rRNA from 1 species
UCCGUAGGUGGCAAGCGUUGUCCGGAAUUAUUGGGCGUAAAGCGCGCGCAGGCGGUCCCUUAAGUCUGAUGUGAAAGCCCACGGCUCAACCGUGGAGGGUCAUUGGAAACUGGGGGACUUGAGUACAGAAGAGGAAAGUGGAAUUCCACGUGUAGCGGUGAAAUGCGUAGAGAUGUGGAGGAACACCAGUGGCGAAGGCGACUUUCUGGUCUGUAACUGACGCUGAGGCGCGAAAGCGUGGGGAGCAAACAGG